rfam:Schistosoma mansoni, Puerto Rico, WGS project CABG01000000 data, contig: 0049
ACCCAGCUGACGAGUCCCGAAUAGGACGAAACGAGAAUCCUGGAU